CCUACGGGAGGCAGCAGUGGGGAAUAUUGCACAAUGGGCGGAAGCCUGAUGCAGCGACGCCGCGUGAGGGAUGACGGCCUUCGGGUUGUAAACCUCUUUCAGCAGGGAAGAAGCGUGAGUGACGGUACCUGCAGAAGAAGCGCCGGCUAACUACGUGCCAGCAGCCGCGGUAAU
rnacentral:rRNA from 1 species